rnacentral:rRNA from 1 species
UACGUAGGGGGCAAGCGUUGUCCGGAUUUAUUGGGCGUAAAGAGCGUGUAGGCGGCCAAAUAGGUCCGUUGUGAAAACUGGAGGCUUAACCUCCAGCUGUCGAUGGAAACCAUCUGGCUAGAGUCCGGAAGAGGAGAGUGGAAUUCCUGGUGUAGCGGUGAAAUGCGUAGAUAUCUGGAGGAACACCGGUGGCGAAGGCGGCAUCCUGGACCGACACUGACGCUGAGGAGCGAAAGCCAGGGGAGCAAACGGG